AUGAAAUUAUAUGCUGUCUUGUUUAGUUGUUUCAUAUACGUAAAGGCCGUCGGGUUUUAAAGCAAUUAUAAAAUCAAUAUUUAAAACAAACUUACCUAGCUUCGUUAACGUCGGCUCCCCUCUUUUAGCCGAUUCUUUCGCCCUUUCUUUCUUGAAAUUUACAAAAUCUUGCAAAAAUGCGAGCAACAAUGAAGAAUAUUUGCAAGAAAUUUAUCAAUCAUCAAAUCAAGAAAUGUUUGCUAUUUCGCUGUCGUCAUGCAGUCGUUAUAAUGCAAACUUUAAAUUGGACCAAUCACAGUGUUCGCUAUUCAUGACAGUCCGCCAUAUUUUUGAGAUCAGUGAGGAUGACCACCCACGCACAGUGACCCACGCCCGCGAUAUUUGAUGAAGUUUAGACUUCGCUAAUGCUUUCGUUUCCCUGGGUGUAAAUAGUCGGGGGGAAUUAGUACCCUCGCACGGCGCUUCGCGCCGUCGGCUCGGGGAUUACCGGUGUUUCCUAUUGCUGUGUUCCCUAUUAACCUAUUUCCUAUUACCGUGUUUCCUAUUGCUAUGUUCCCUGGCGGGCUAUUACCUAUUACCGUGUUUCC